GCCUUCAUGGUGUAGCGGUUGCACGCUCGGCGCGUAUUCGAGAGGUCCGUGGUUCGAAUCCCGGCAAGGGCA
rnacentral:tRNA from 1 species